CGAAAUGUGAUAAGUAAUGUGAAUUGCAGAAUUCAGUGAAUCAUCGAAUCUUUGAACGCACCUUGCGCUCCUUGGUAUUCCUUGGAGCAUGCCUGUUUGAGUAUCAUGAAAUCUUCAAAGUAAAUCUUUUGUUAACUCAAUUGGUUUCUACUUUGGUAUUGGAGGUCUUUGCAGCUUCACACCUGCUCCUCUUUGUUCAUUAGCUGGAUCUCAGUGUUAUGCUUGGUUCCACUCGGCGUGAUAAGUUAUCUAUCGCUGAGGACACGGUAAAAGGUGGCCAAGGUAAAUGCAGAUGAACCGCUUCUAAUAGUCCAUUGACUUGGACAAUACUUUUAUGAUCUGAUCUCAAAUCAGGUAGGACUACCCGCUGAACUUAAGC
rnacentral:misc_RNA from 1 species